CCAGACGGUCGGGCAGCCGCUGGCGGGUUCGCUCGUCCAGAGGAAAGUCCGGGCUCCAUGGAAACAAGGCGGUGGAUAACGUCCACCCGGCGUGAGCCGAGGGAAAGUGCCACAGAAAGCAAACCGCCGCUUCUACGGAGGCGGUAAGGGUGAAAGGGUGGGGUAAGAGCCCACCGGGGCGCUGGCGACAGGGCCCGCAUGGUAAACCCCGCCUGGAGCAAGACCGAAUAGGGGGCGCGCAUGGGCCGUUUUCAGCUUGCGCCCCGGGUGUGUCGCGUCAGGCGUUUCGCAAGAAACGUCGCAGAGGAAUGGCUGCUGAACCUGGCAACAGGGGAACAGAACCCGGCUUACAGACCGUCUGGAUAU
rnacentral:RNase_P_RNA from 1 species